CGGUAAUUCCAGCUCCAAUAGCGUAUAUUUAAGUUGUUGCAGUUAAAAAGCUCGUAGUCGGAUUUUGGGUACGGCAGGCCGGUCCGCGUUUUGCGUGUGCACUGGCAGGCGGUAUCUUUCUGUCGAGGACGCGCUCCUGGGCUUCAUUGUCCGGGACGUGGAGUCGGCGAAGUUACUUUGAAAAAAUUAGAGUGUUCAAAGCGGGCCUACGCUUGAAUAUAUUAGCAUGGAAUAACACUAUAGGACUCCUGUCCUAUUCUGUUGGUCUUCGGGAUGGGAGUAAUGAUUAAGAGGAACAGUUGGGGGCAUUCGUAUUUCAUUGUCAGAGGUGAAAUUCUUGGAUUUAUGAAAGACGAACUUCUGCGAAAGCAUUUGCCAAGGAUGUUUUCAUUAAUCAAGAACGAAAGUUGGGGGCUCGAAGAUGAUUAGAUACCAUCCUAGUCUCAACCAUAAACGAUGCCGACUAGGGAUUGGCGGAUGUUAAUUUGAUGACUUCGCCAGCACCUUAUGAGAAAUCAAAGUCUUUGGGUUCCGGGGGGAGUAUGGUCGCAAGGCUGAAACUUAAAGGAAUUGACGGAAGGGCACCACCAGGAGUGGAGCCUGCGGCUUAAUUUGACUCAACACGGGGAAACUUACCAGGUCCAGACAUAGUAAGGAUUGACAGAUUAAGAGCUCUUUCUUGAUUCUAUGGGUGGUGGCGCAUGGCCGUUCUUAGUUGGUGGAGUGAUUUGUCUGGCUAAUCCCGUUAACGAACGAGACCUCAGCCUGCUAACUAGUCACGGUCUUGGUUUAUCCCAGGCCGGCGGACUUCUUAGAGGGACUAUUGGCGAUUAGCCAAUGGAAGUUUGAGGCAAUAACAGGUCUGUGAUGCCCUUAGAUGUUCUGGGCCGCACGCGCGCUACACUGACGGAUUCAACAAGCCCACCCUUGGCCGAAAGGUCCGGGUAAUCUUCGAAACUCCGUCGUGAUGGGGCUAGAUUAUUGCAAUUAUUAAUCUUCAACGAGGAAUUCCUAGUAAGCGCAAGUCAUCAGCUUGCGUUGAUUACGUCCCUGCCCUUUGUACACACCGCCCGUCGCUCCUACCGAUUGAAUGGUCCGGUGAAGCGUUCGGAUGGGUAAAGUGUGGCGGCNANCMCUGCCUUCGCCCAGAAGUUCGUUAAACCUUAUCAUUUAGAGGAAGGAGAAGUCGUAACAAGG
rnacentral:rRNA from 1 species